rnacentral:rRNA from 1 species
AUUGAACGCUGGCGGCAUGCUUUACACAUGCAAGUCGAACGGUAACAGGCCGCAAGGUGCUGACGAGUGGCGAACGGGUGAGUAAUGCAUCGGAACGUGCCCAGUCGUGGGGGAUAACGCAGCGAAAGCUGUGCUAAUACCGCAUACGAUCUGUGGAUGAAAGCGGGGGACCUUCGGGCCUCGCGCGAUUGGAGCGGCCGAUGUCAGAUUAGGUAGUUGGUGGGGUAAAGGCUCACCAAGCCGACGGUCUGUAGCUGGUCUGAGAGGACGACCAGCCACACUGGGACUGAGACACGGCCCAGACUCCUACGGGAGGCAGCAGUGGGGAAUUUUGGACAAUGGGCGAAAGCCUGAUCCAGCAAUGCCGCGUGCAGGAAGAAGGCCUUCGGGUUGUAAACUGCUUUUGUACGGAGCGAAAAGGCUCCCUCUAAUACAGGGGGCUCAUGACGGUACCGUAAGAAUAAGCACCGGCUAACUACGUGCCAGCCGCCGCAGUAAAAC